rnacentral:rRNA from 1 species
UACGUAGGGGGCAAGCGUUGUCCGGAUUCAUUGGGCGUAAAGAGCGUGUAGGCGGCCAGGUAGGUCGGUUGUGAAAACUGGAGGCUCAACCUUCAGAGGUCGACCGAAACCAUCUGGCUAGAGUCCGGGAGAGGAGAGUGGAAUUCCUGGUGUAGCGGUGAAAUGCGCAGAUAUCAGGAAGAACACCGGUGGCGAAGGCGGGUCUCUGGGCCGUUACUGACGCUGAGGAGCGAAAAGCGUGGGGGAGCGAACAGGG